rnacentral:rRNA from 1 species
AUCAGCCUUUCGGGUGCGAUUCUGUGGGGUUUGAGGAGCUUAACACCUUCAUGCUUUGCAUAUUCGUGCUCUUGGGUGUACUUGCCCGUGUGGUUGGUUAACAUCAAUUUUGGUGGUCAUAAAAUGACUGGAGGAAUGUAGCUUCGAUCUCGUAUUGAAGUGUUAUAGCCUUCGGUAGAUGUGAUGAUCGAGAUUGAGGAUUGCAACGGAUACCCUUCGGGGCUACCUGUCUGAUCUCUGAUCGUUGCUCUGGUGCCGAAAGCUUGCUUACGGUUAUCAAAGUCGAUGGUCAAUAGGUUAGAACGGGUUAAAUUCGUUAAGGAUGUUGACGUAAUGGCUUU